GUGGGGAAUAUUCCGCAAUGGACGAAAGUCUGACGGAGCAACGCCGCGUGAGUGAUGAAGGUUUUCGGACUGUAAAGCUCUGUUGUUUAGGACGAAAGUGCCUGUUGCAAAUAGUUACAGGUAUUGACGGUACUGAACGAGGAAGCCACGGCUAACUACGUGCCAGCAGCCGCGGUAAUACGUAGGUGGCAAGCGUUGUCCGGAAUUAUUGGGCGUAAAGAGCAUGUAGGCGGGAAUCUAAGUCUGUUGUGAAAAUGCGGGGCUCAACCCCGUAUUGCGAUGGAAACUGGGUUUCUUGAGUGCAGGAGAGGAAAGGGGAAUUCCCAGUGUAGCGGUGAAAUGCGUAGAUAUUGGGAGGAACACCAGUGGCGAAGGCGCCUUUCUGGACUGUGUCUGACGCUGAGAUGCGAAAGCCAGGGUAGCGAACGGGAUUAGAUACCCUGGUAGUCC
rnacentral:rRNA from 1 species